rnacentral:rRNA from 1 species
UCGAGUUGUUUGGGAAUGCAGCUCAAAUUGGGUGGUAAAUUCCAUCUAAAGCUAAAUAUUGGCGAGAGACCGAUAGCGAACAAGUACCGUGAGGGAAAGAUGAAAAGCACUUUGGAAAGAGAGUUAACAGUACGUGAAAUUGUUGGAAGGGAAACGCUUGAAGUCAGACUUGCUUGCCGAGCAAUCGGUUUGCAGGCCAGCAUCAGUUUUCCGGGAUGGAUAAUGGUAGAGAGAAGGUAGCAGUUUCGGCUGUGUUAUAGCUCUCUGCUGGAUACAUCUUGGGGGACUGAGGAACGCAGUGUGCCUUUGGCGGGGGUUUCGACCUCUUCACACUUAGGAUGCUGGUGGAAUGGCUUUAAACGACCCGUCUU